rnacentral:rRNA from 1 species
UACGUAGGGGGCAAGCGUUGUCCGGAUUUAUUGGGCGUAAAGCGCGCGUAGGCGGCGCGGUAUGUCGUGCGUGAAAUCUCCCGGCUUAACUGGGAGGGGCCGUGCGAAACUGCCGGGCUUGAGGUCGGAAGGGGAAAGUGGAAUUCCGGGUGUAGUGGUGGAAUGCGCAGAUAUCAGGAGGAACACCGGUGGCGAAGGCGGAUCUCUGGGCCAUUACGUGACGCUGAGGAGCGAAAGCGUGGGGAGCGAACGAGG